UACGCAGAGAUUGUGUGUAUCGGCGUUGUGCUAUAACCAGUGCACUCUGCUCGAAAGUGUUCUCUGCGAGAUCAGAAUGUGAAGGUGGGCAGUUGCUUUUCCAUUCUAUUCCAUGGAAAAUUUCAACAAUCAUCUUCCCUACAUCU